UAUAGAGGAGAGUUUCAUAGUGGUGCCGUUGCACAUUACUGACAAGGCUCUUGGCAUUAUCCAACGGUAAUAGUCGGUGGGUCACUGGGCCCAGUGUUCUCUUUCUUUCGAGAGUGGUCCUGAAAAAAGGUGAGUUUGGUGGACUCUAAGUCAAGGCGUUUUGCCUUUCACAGCUGCAAAGAUGUGAUUUCUGUCCGUUAGGGAUUGGCACUGCAGGAUUACGUCUUGGGAUGCUAGCAGUGGUGCCUGUCUUGGUUUGUUGAUGCGAGAAAUUCAUUUGAAUGCUAACUUUUUUGCCUGUGCAUGUGGUAGCAAAGUAGCAAGACUUCUGAGAUAGUGCGGUAGUUCGGACUGGACAAUCUCAUCAGGGAUGCAUCUAAUUUUUAUGUUUCCUCUGUGGCUUCAGUCCUCCGCGGCAUCUAGCUUUAUUGAGCAGGGUUGAUUGGGAGGAUUGGAGUUGAAUCACGGUUUCUUUGAGGCCCUUCACUUCAUGUUGUACAUCUAUUAUGUCCUCUUCCGAGGUUUUCACUCGGUAAGUCACCGCUUGAACCUUUGUCCUCAUUAGGUCCAUGUCAGCAGCAGACAUCUGCUUCAAUUCUAGCAGAAGGUUUUGAAUAUCCAGUUUGGUAGCUGGAGUCAAUGCAUCAGGAUCUAUCUGUACCUCUGGGUGGAACUGGGGUCUGUGGCUUCCCCCAAGACAUGCUCCGAACCUGUGGAGCCUGUAUCUUUGUCAGACAUGGCUGCUAUCUUUAGGGCUACGGGGCACUGAGCAUUGUGCCUAUGUCGCAGGUGUCUUUGCACGCACCUAUUGCUACUCGAUGGGAUUUUCUUCCCAUUUCAGCUGAGGGUUCAGGCCACCCAGUCUCAGUGGGUGGUGAGAUGAGCACACCGAGGUGGGAAGCAUGGUCUUGAAGGCCGCGUAAGCAGAGUAGGCCUUAACUCUGCGGCGCACCUUCCUGCCCAUCUGCAGGAAUAAAAAGGGCAUCAGUUGGUUGAUGACGCUGCCGGCUUGUCUGUCCUGUAGGUGUGGCAAACCUAGCCACUUGGACAUUAUAUAGAGACAAUGGCUUUAAGGGUUGCCUGUAUGGUUGUGGUGAUAUGUAUGUACCUGGGUGUAAUGUAUGUUGACUGUAUAGUACUGUAUUGCCUGCAUUGGCUAUCUGCCAAAAGCAGAUAGCUGGAUUUCCUUUCGUUUCACGAACAGCGCCUUUGCGGGCUGUCCGUGAACCGAAUAGACCAACAUGUAAUAGCCCACACAUUGAGAGACGUGUGGCGCUUGUUAACCGAUUGCAACAAUGUUGCAAUCGGUAAUUAGAGGCUCACCUAGGUGGCAGUCGUUCGACUACUGACCACGCGGCGGUCGGCCAUCUUGGAUCCUUUGUUCCUCCAAUGGUGUUCGGUCGUCGAGUGCGUGGUACUGAAAACGGCUACUCGACGGCGCGAACACCGCUGGACUUCCAGGCCGAUCGGGAGUUCUGGGACCUUCGUAAUUUACUCCCUGUAGGUCAAUCGGUAGUUUGAAUACAAGUGUUGGUGAAUAUGUUUUUCGUGCGGCGUUCGGUUGUUUUAGCUGGGAUCUGAGCGGUAAUCUCACGAAUUGUGUGCCCAGACCCCAGCUAUCUAUCGAACAUCCAUUCGUGUAAAUCACCCCAAUAUUGGGGAAGUUAUGUAUUUUCGUGUGAAUUGUCGGUUCUGCUGCACGGAGGGAUAAUCCACUUAACUGUACAUUCCAGUGGGAGGAUCCCUUUUGUGCAGCAGUGCCUGAUGGGAGAAAUGCUCUGUACAAUAAGUUUCCCAUGUAGUCCACUCCUGUAAUACCCCUGUGAUGUGACUCAGGAAACCCCUUGCAUGGGGAAUUGUAUAAAUUCUGGAGCCUGUGAAUAAAGCCU